rnacentral:rRNA from 2 species
GGACCAAGGAGUCUAGCAUGUGCGCAAGUCAUUGGGAUUUUAUUAAACCUAAAGGCGUAAUGAAAGUGAAUAUUUAUGAAUUUUCGUAAUUCAUUGAAUUAAGGGAAGAUGGGUAAUGAUAUAUAUAUUACCUCGCAUUCCCGGGGCGUCGCGUAUUCAUUGCGAAUUGCGGCGCACCAAGAGCGUACACGCUGGGACCC